CUCUUACACCUCAUUUAAGGGCUGACUGCCACUGGGGAAGGGCCUCUGGUUGGAGAGCCCUCCUUGUUGGAGCUUUCCCUUGCAAACCUGGAAUCUUCUGAUACAGGUGAGACCCAGAAGUCCAGAAAGAAACUUCAAAAAGGAAGGAGCAUCUCAACCCAAGGCAGCGUAUCUCUGUCCGAAGGCCUUGCAAACAGAUGAGCAGAGGCUGCCUGAAGUUUGCUCAGCUAUGCCAUGGUACGUGGAGGUGGCUUGCAUUUCACCAGCACUUGUAGUGUGACUCACCCCAGGAAGAGGUUCCUCUGCUCGUGGUGGGUCCGGGCACUAAUGUUAUUACUGUAAUGGCCUGGGUUUGCAGCUUCACAUUCUUGUUGUCUCUCUCUUGGUUUCGGUCAAGGUACACUCAGAAUUUGUUUUUUUUUUUUUUGUGCCCACCUUAGCAGAAAAAUAACCAUGAGAAUUUAUAUCACUACAAUUCCUGUUCCCAAACAGGCUGUAGAUAAAUACUCCAAGCUGCAUCUGAUUUGAUUUAAGAUCUUAUUUCUCUUGCUGAGGUAUGUUUCCCUCGUGAGGAGGGCAGUCAUCAAAGCCAUGAUGAUUCACGCAGUUUUGCAAAGGGGUGGUUUGCCAGUUGUGUUCUCCCAAGCUGUUGCUAGGCUUGUGAAUCAGAUCUACCUUAUUCGUUCCCACAGAGCCAAGGACUUCAGCUGGAGCCGUGGCUGGGGGAGAUCUGAGUGGUAAUGAGGGUUGGGUCAGGAGGGGGAAUUUCCAUUCUGGGGGAAGUCCUGACACUCCCCAGCUCUUUUGUUAUGAAUUGGGAUGAAAAAGUGAAAUUUGGAAAUCUCCCAUGAGAUGUAUGUUUAGAAACUAGUCAGGAAAAAAGAAAAGUCUAAAUAAGACUAAAUGACGCUGAUUUGUUUCUACUUUCCUAUUGUAUAAAAAUGGAAAAACGAGACAUAGGGCAGUGAGAAAUAUCUGAAUGCACAAAUGCAAUACAGAUUUUAUAUGUGUAGCUGUGGAAGCAAAAAGACCAUAAUGAAAUGGAACACAUCAAUGCCAUUGAAAAGAACCACCGCGGCGGUGAUGAAACACCAUGUUUUGACAUUCUCCUGUUGUAAAAUUUCAUUGAAAUUGACAAACUGCCGAGAAAUAUUUUGAUUUUGAAUAGACUGUACUGGAUGAGAAAUUGCACUGUUGAAAAUUUUUCAGCUGGCUCCUUUGCAAACUGAGUAAACAGCUGACGAGCAGGCCAUCGUCGCUGCUGGAAACAGUGAGACAAACACGCGAGGGUCAAAUCCUGAGCAUUUCAGCAGUCACUCAUCAAAAUACCGUUUGACUUGAGCAGGAAGCUGGACUAAAUGUGAACGGCAGUGUUUGGCACACGGUGGGUGUCCAGAUGGCCUCGUGUUAGGCACUGCCUUCUGAGGGUGGAUCCCACCCAAGUUAUUAUCAAGGAUUCUUGCAACAGCCACGGGAGAGAUUGACAAGUCAGAUCGCCUUCAUUAGGAGCCAAAUUCGGGUCUGCUAAAUCACCCUCUAAAUUUCAAGCAGAUGAAAGACGCUGAAGGAGGAGGAAGAUGGCAAGAAGCGUUGUUCACUGGAAUGCAUGUACUGGAACUCACACUCACGUCUUCUGCUGGAGGGACCUCUGCCAAGGGAGAACAUCACUUCUCAGGAACUGCUGGUUCGAAUUGCCACUUAAUCUCUUCAAAUUGGCUUUCGUGUACACCCGUGGCACAUGGACCUCAGCAGUCUGCAGAACACAAGGAAGAUUCCAUCCUGAGUCCCAGAGACGCCUUCAUCUCUGUAUCUAUGCAGCCCCAACCUGUGGCAGCUCUGUGGCCAUCCUAAGCACGCGAUGCUGGUGAGAUUCAAAGCUCUGAAGAAGCGGUCUUGGCAUGACUGUCUGCUGCUGAGUUUGCUGGAGAAAUUAAAACUUGUCUUACAGAAGAUGGACUCACUGGUUUUAUUAAUAUUGCAAAAUAGCUAGAUUUGACAAGCAGCCAAGAGCAGAGCUAGUCCCUUUCCCAGCCACAGGUUGUCUUAUAGUGAACCCUUCUUUCACUUGGCAGUGCACUGCAAAUGUGAGAACCAUGCCUCCUCCUGCCAUGGCUCUCACAUUACCCUCAUCUCCACCACGCUGUCCAACUCAGCUUAGCUGAGCAUGGAAGCUGCCUCCUCACCCAAGCCUGCAGUGCUUAGCCAGGUGUGCCUGGCUGGAUGAGGGAGGGGGACACCGCGUAUCCUGAUGGCAAGCACUGUGUCUGUAAUAGGAGGUGCCAUGAGCUGCUCACAUUGGCCAAAUGUCCCAUGGUUGGUUGAGAUGACCCUUCACCUUUGUCUGAAGGGUCACAGCUUGGCUUUUCUACAGCUCCAGGUAGAAGGAAAAGUGCCACUGGCUGCAAGAACUGAAUGAGUAAUUUGUGAUGAAUAAUUCAUGGGAGCAAUGCUGCCUUUUUUCCAGAAUGCGAGCUGUCUGUAGGAAAAGGCUAGGUUUUUCCCAUAGAACCUUCUUAUUUGGAAACAUUUAUUGAACAAUCUCUGAGAAGAGAAAAUCUUGGUCUGCAGCUUAUUAGUGAGUUGUUUGUUGUGAGUGUUUGAUGGUCCAAAUCCAGACUGCCUUGCGUACAUGCAUGCAGCUCACAUGGGCCUGAUUAAAGUCCAUCUAAAGUCAGAGGGAGCCCAGGGUGGCCCGUGCAGUGUCUUCUUCUCAGGAGCAGGUUUCUCCCACUCAUUGCACCCAGGUGCAGGUAUCCACUGUGCUUCAGUGUUGGGCUCAGAACUGGUCAAUUUGAAGAACAAAUCAAUUAAUUGUCAGCAUCCUCUAGUAACAAGUACAAGUGAGCUUCAGGCAGCGUCCAUAUAAACUCACAAUUGUUAUACAGGUUAUAGAGUUUAAAAGGUCUUGUGAAAUCAUCGUGUUGGGCAGAGGAGACAAGACAGCCUUGUAUGUAAAGGACUUAAAUUAUGGAGAGUACUUAUUUUUUUAAAGCACUUCUAAGCACAGUGACUGCUUUUUUUCCGUGCUUCUACACCAGUUCUGCUCUUUCCAGUUUUAAUUGUACUGAGUGGCUUUACUGUUGACUCCAAACCCUUGGAGCAGUCAGCAGGAAGUGAGCACUCAGACAUGUGAGAGGACUUGGA